rnacentral:lncRNA from 1 species
UGCAAUCAUUGACAUCACAGAUCGCCACUCAACCCGGUGGAUUUGUACUAAUCAACUUGAACUUGUCAAUGCCGUCAUGAUACAGCAUUGCAUGAUUAUUUGUCGCGCAAUAUAUGCUUUGGUACACAUUUGAGGACCGAACGAUUUAGUCAGGAAGGUGGACAUGAUCCAAUAGGAAAUUAAAUGGGUGGACUGAAACUUCUGGCGAGUGUUACCUUAGUAUUUCCCUUUUUUACUCGUUCAGCUUGAUCUAAAACCAGUAGUAUGAUGAUGCAUAGAUGGUUGCUGCAUUGUUGUGGGCUGUUCUGAGAGAUACAAUAGACUCUUUCUGGAUAAGCAUUCCGGCUUUCUACACGAAUUUAGAAGCACUGAUUAUUUCACAGCGUCAUGGACGGGAGCUGGCCCAGAGGAACAGAAAGCCAAACUGGUGAUAUCUGCCUCCAUGGGAUAAUCUUUCCUACCCAGGAGUAAGCAAGCUAGCGACCACCGACCGCUCACAUAUCUUUUCCACUCCUCUCACAGUUCCAUUUAGAGGAAACCCUCAAAUUCCAUAUGCUGAGUCCAAACGUCAUCUCUUUCCCUCCGGCAGUCCCCUGGCACAAUAAAUGCCUCAAUCACAAAUUAUGCAGUCUGCUUGGCUCCUAAUGUGGAUAGUUUCUCGAAGGAUCCCCAGAAAACCUAUGAACACAGGAAUCCAGCUGUGGCAAGUGCUGAUAAUUCACAUACCUGGGCUGCUUGUUUUCCUG